rnacentral:rRNA from 1 species
UACGUAGGGGGCAAGCGUUGUCCGGAUUUAUUGGGCGUAAAGAGCGUGUAGGCGGCCUUACAGGUCAGCUGUGAAAACUCGAGGCUCAACCUCGAGACGUCGGUUGAAACCGUAAGGCUAGAGUCCGGAAGAGGAGAGUGGAAUUCCCGGUGUAGCGGUGAAAUGCGCAGAUAUCGGGAAGAACACCCGUGGCGAAGGCGGCUUCCUGGCCUGUUCUUGGCGCUGAGGCGCGAAAGCUAGGGGAGCAAACGGG